UACGUAGGGGGCAAGCGUUGUCCGGAUUCAUUGGGCGUAAAGAGCGUGUAGGCGGCCAGGUAGGUCGGUUGUGAAAACUGGAGGCUCAACCUUCAGAGGUCGACCGAAACCAUCUGGCUAGAGUCCGGGAGAGGAGAGUGGAAUUCCUGGUGUAGCGGUGAAAUGCGCAGAUAUCAGGAAGAACACCCGUGGCGAAAGCGGCUCGCUGGGACGUUACUGACGCUGAGACGCGAAAGCGUGGGGAGCAAACAGG
rnacentral:rRNA from 1 species